GCGGAGGGCCGGAUGGCCGCGUGGGCCCUGCAAGGGGAACUGCGAGGAAAGUCCGGACUCCAUGAAGCAACGGUGCCGGGUAACGCCCGGGCGGGGCAACCCGACGGAGAGCGCCACAGAGAUGAGACCGCCCGGCCUUGGCCGGGUAAGGGUGAAACGGUGGGGUAAGAGCCCACCGCGGGGGCGGCAACGUCACCGGCAUGGCAAGCCCCACCGGGAGCAACGCCGAAUAGGAACCUCGCGGGGGCAACCCCAGGCCUGCUUCGGCCCUGAGGUUCGGGUAGGCGGCUAGAGCCGUCGGGCAACCGACGGCGCAGACGAAUGGUCAUCCUUGGGCCGUGCUUUCGGGCGCGCGCCCUCGACAAAAUCCGGCUUACAGGCCCUCCGCGCAA
rfam:Roseovarius sp. 22II1-1F6A contig17, whole genome shotgun sequence.